rnacentral:sRNA from 1 species
UGAAUAAAUAAAUAAUUCAACCAACAAAACCAAGAAUGACUAACAAUCCUAACACAACCCUAACCGGUUCCAAUAAUCAAAACACAAAAAUAAACCAAACGAGUUCCUAGAUCAUCUUCUCUUCCUUGCCAUGAUUUCACGAUCACACUUUAUCUUUACCUGCAUCAACAAUACAAUGAUAUGCGUAAGUAUUAUCAUAAAUACUUAGUGAGGCGAUCCUCCCAUCUACGAGCUAUACACACAAGCAAAUUAAAGGGUAUAAUAACAAAUACAAUACAAACAAACCAGUCAUUGAACAAUUCACCGAAAACACAUUCACCCAAAACACAUUCACCACACCUACAUAUCAUCACACAAAACAAAUCACACAACCCAAUCGCUCAGAUAAGCUCAUGGUUACGCACUCACCUUAACAAAUUGAUUUUAACAACAAGUAAACCCAGGAGAGACUCUCCUUGCGUCUGAAACAGUCCAGAAAUGUCCUACAACAAGUCACAACCAAAAGCAACCUUGAAGCAAACUGGACAUAAAAAACAAAAACAAACAGUCUCAAAGACGAAACCCUAAAAUACAAACUAACUGUUAAAUAUUAUAUCCCUCCGGUGAAACGCUAGCCUUAUACGUCACAAAGCUUCCCACAAAAACUCGUGCCGAUCAGAAACCAGAUGAGACUACGAUCGCAGUUACAAUUCCCGCUGGUCCUAAUUCGCGUCUGAGAAAACGUGUUUUACGAAACUGCGAAUAACUCAACCAAUUUUAGUCCAAAACUACUUGCGUAAACUGGAAAAUAACGAUAAAAGACUUGGAAAUAACCCUACCAAAUUUCGUUACCUUUGACAACGAUUUGAUAUGUCAAAAACGUUUCCUCCCAAACCCUAACAAUACUGGUACUUCUCAUUCUCUCUCUUUUUCUCCUUUGUAAAACGAAAAGUGGCUAAUUAAAGCCAUAAUUUCGAGUUUCUUUCUUUUAUAGGCACACUCUAGAGUUUCCAAUUAACCCAACCGAUUAAACCAGGCGAUUUAAAUACAAACUAUAACCGAUUUUCCGGUUCACGGGCGCUACAGAAUGAAUUGUUAAGGAGUUUUGGAGCAAAACACAAUUUUCAAUCAUAAUUAAUAUAA